GGCCACUCCAAGUUCCACCUCUUCCACGAAGCCCUCCUUGAUUGCUGGGCCCUGGUUGAACUCCUUAUUAGUAACACCCAGGUUAGUCCUACUUAAUUCUUACCUGCAGCCAAAGUGGACUUAGCAUCUCCUUGCAUGCCUGGUAAAGUCAAGGGUUUUCAGCCAGGGCCUGUGUAUAAAGCAGAAGCAGCACAGAGUCUGGUUUGAAGCUUAGUGCUUGGGUUCAGACAGUUGUGGGUUACAAUCCCUUCUACACAUGUUCUCUGUGGAAACCAUUUGGUUCUCUGUGCUUGGAACUCGCCUGCAACGGGACAAAGCCAUCUCACCUAGACUGUUGUUAUGAAGAUUGAAUUAGGUGAUUCUGAGAGGCAUUUAUGCGUCCUCCCUGAGUAACAAUCCAUGAAAAGUGGGCGUCAUUGCUGAAGCUCAAGGAAGAAAUAUGAAAUUUGAUUAUAUCCUUAUUCACGGCAUUGGGUCACCAACUCAGCACUUUUUAUGAAAGUAGCAUCUGACCUGGCAAAGGCUGUGUCAUCUUAUUACCUCAGAAAGACAAAUUUACGGGGUCAGACGAUGGAUGGCUUGUAGAUUUCUCAAUGGGCUGGAAGGAAGGAGAGAAAAAGAGAGACAGGAGAGAGUACACAUUUAAUUCUGCUUCCCCUAGGGUGAUAUUUCCUUCCUCCCCUUCCAGGGUUCUCAAAAAGGCAUUCUAGGAAGUCCUGUAAAAUACAUGCUCAUAAAAAUCUCAUAAUUUCCACAAAUUGUUGAGAAUUUAAAACUCGGUUGGGAGUUUGCUGUUUCAGCCUGAGACACCGGGGUCACGUUUCAGUGCCUGCAGUCUUGAGACAGUACCAGGCAUCUGGGAUGAAGCUGAGGAAAGAAGAUGUGGGGGCCCUGCUGGCCUGCUCCUUCUCUCGAAAGACGCUUACCGGCUGCUGGUGUGUCACAGGGCUUUAGGAUUUGGAAAAACAGAGGGAUUUAAAAGAAGAUAGAAUGGUCAGAAUUUCGAGAACUGUGUGCUGAAGUGCCAUCUUUAGGGUGCUCAUAACACGGCCUUACAACAUUAGAGGUGCUGGAAUCAUGGAAGAGGCAUCUGGACUCUGUAAUGUCCUUCCCCCUGGAAAAUCUGCUCCAGAAGUGGGGGAUUGGGAGCUGUCAACAUAUGAGCCAUCUUUUGCUCCGUUCAAGAUGGUAGGGGCAUUCUCAACAUGCCCCUCACUCUGAUUCUGCCUCACUUUUAUUUUAGAAUUUUCCACUGCCUUUUCUGGAAUGUGCUUUUUCAACCCUCAAAAUCUGUAGAGAAGAAAUAAGCAGAAACCGAAAUGGCUUUCUGGUGUUCUCCAUGCUCUCAGCUUACUGGAAAAUCGAGCCGCAGGCUCGAGGCUGGACUUUAAGGCAGAGCACUGCAAUUAUAGUGCUAUGGCCUUGGCUUCCUUUCUCAUCACCCAGGUACAGUCCUGCAGUCCUCAGAGGAUGCCAGUCCCACACAGGGGGAUCCUUCUCCAUAGGAAAACCGAGGAACAAUGCAGGUUCGAGGUGCACAGUGGCUAAGCACACUCAGUCCUCAAGAUCUUUCCUCUCAAAUGCUAAUGCUACCUUCAGAUGGGCUGCUGCCUGCUACCAUUUCAACAUUGAGUCCUUUAAGAUGCCAUCAGAGAGAGGGGAAGCAAGAGGCCAAGAAAAAUGAAAGGAGUUAAGAGUAAACCAUACUCCGGGCAACCAUCACCCCAAAAGGGAGACAACCAGACCUUCUGUGCCUCCCAAUGAAAGUCCACAUUCAACACCACCUACGAAGGAUUCUUACCAAAGACACCAAAACUGAACUCAGGCAACCCUCCAGAUAUAACUACCAAUUUGCAGAAAAUAAAAGGGAUAGAAGAACACAAAGAUGCAAUCAGCAAAAUUCAGACAGGACAAGCAAUAUUUUUUUCAAGAAGAAGAAGAAAAUUGAGGGAGUCUGGAAGAGAUGUAGAGUAAACUGGUAGAGUGAGACACUUAAGGGAUGCAUGAGUUCAGAACAAAGUGUAGACCUCGUUGGGAUCCCAGUUCAGGCAAGCAAAUCUUAAAAUGUUCAUGAGACUGUUGGAGGAAGGCAAACACAGAUAGCAUAGGUGUUGACAUUAAAGAAAUCUUAAUUU
ensembl:lncRNA LINC01622 long intergenic non-protein coding RNA 1622